CCGACUCCUACGGGAGGCAGCAGUAGGGAAUCUUCGGCAAUGGACGAAAGUCUGACCGAGCAACGCCGCGUGAGUGAAGAAGGUUUUCGGAUCGUAAAACUCUGUUGGUAGAGAAGAACGUUGGUGAGAGUGGAAAGCUCAUCAAGUGACGGUAACUACCCAGAAAGGGACGGCUAACUACGUGCCAGCAGCCGCGGUAAUACGUAGGUCCCGAGCGUUGUCCGGAUUUAUUGGGCGUAAAGCGAGCGCAGGUGGUUUAUUAAGUCUGGUGUAAAAGGCAGUGGCUCAACCAUUGUAUGCAUUGGAAACUGGUAGACUUGGGUGCAGGAGAGGAGAGUGGAAUUCCAUGUGUAGCGGUGAAAUGCGUAGAUAUAUGGAGGAACACCGGUGGCGAAAGCGGCUCUCUGGCCUGUAACUGACACUGAGGCUCGAAAGCGUGGGGAGCAAACAGGAUUAGAUACCCUGGUAGUCCACGCCGUAAACGAUGAGUGCUAGAUGUAGGGAGCUAUAAGUUCUCUGUAUCGCAGCUAACGCAAUAAGCACUCCGCCUGGGGAGUACGACCGCAAGGUUGAAACUCAAAGGAAUUGACGGGGGCCCGCACAAG
rnacentral:rRNA from 1 species